GCAAGUCGUGCGAGAAAGUAUCUUCGGAUGUGAGUAGAGUGGCGCACGGGUGAGUAACACGUAGGUAACCUGCCCCUUGAUGGAGGAUAACCAGAAGAAAUUCUGGCUAAUACUGCAUAAGUUGGUAACAAGAAAGGAUGCUCCGGCAUUCGUCGAGGGAUGGGCCUGCGGAACAUUAGUUUGAUGGUGGGGUAAUGGCCUACCAUGACUACGAUGUUUAACUGGUCUGAGAGGAUGAUC
rnacentral:rRNA from 1 species